UCCUACGGGGGGCAGCAGUGAGGAAUAUUGGUCAAUGGGCGAGAGCCUGAACCAGCCAAGUCGCGUGAAGGAUGACGGCCCUACGGGUUGUAAACUUCUUUUGUCAGGGAGCAAUUGGGUCCACGCGUGGGCUUAGCGAGAGUACCUGAAGAAAAAGCAUCGGCUAACUCCGUGCCAGCAGCCGCGGUAAUACGGAGGAUUCAAGCGUUAUCCGGAUUUAUUGGGUUUAAAGGGUGCGUAGGCGGUCGGAUAAGUUAGAGGUGAAAUCCCGAGGCUCAACUUCGGAAUUGCCUCUGAUACUGUUC
rnacentral:rRNA from 1 species